rnacentral:antisense_RNA from 1 species
CCAAAGGAGAUUAACAUUUGAGUCAGUGGACUGGGAGCUGCAGAUCCACCCUCAAUCUGGGUGAGCACCAUCUAAUCAGCUGUCAGUGCAGCUAGGAUAAAGGCAGGCAGAGGAAUGCGGAAGGACUAGACUGGCUAAGUCUUCUGGCCUCCAUCUUUCUCCCAUGCUGGAUGCUUCCUGACCUUGAACAUCAGACUCCAAGUUCUUCAGCUUUUGGACUGUUGGACUUACACCAGUGAUUUGCCAGGGGCUCUUGGGCCUUCAGCCACAGAGUGAAGGCUGUACUGUCAGCUUCCCUACUUUUGAGAUUUUGGGACAUGGACUGGCUUCCUAGCUCCUCAGCUUGCAGACGGCCUAUCAUGGUACUUCACCUUGUGAUCAUGACUGCUGGUAUAGCUUGCCUGGUGGUGGACUUGGAGGAUACCAUUGCAUCAGGGCAUUUCUCCACAUGAUAGCUCCUGCCUGCUGGACAGGUCCUCUCUUGACUAUGUGUAUUCUCCAGAGAAGCAGGCAGAAUGAACAUUCUGGAAAAUUUAUGUCCUUGUGUAGAAAGCUAGAAAAAAAAAAGAAGAAAAAAGAAACUCUCAGCCUGAAGGCCCACGUAAAACACAAAGCACUUCUGAAAUCUUUUUGGGGGACCAGAAUCACACCAAGCAAUGCCUGAGGAAGUGAAUGUAAUCGAGUAUUGCCCUAACAUCUUUCAGUACAACCACAUUAGAAUCUCCUUUAAAGCUUUUCCCACCUUCCCCAGCUCUAAUUGAUCCCCUCAAAACUAUGCUAAAUUUUUAGUAUUCCUAAUCACCUUGACGUAAGAUUGGAGCUAAUUCUGAAAAAGAAUCUCUGAAUGAAAAGCUAUUCUACCAGAAAUACCACAUUUCCGGUAAAAAUGUUAGGAGCAUUUUUUUUCUUUUGCUUUCUUUUUUCUACUUUCGUUCUUUCAAGUGAACUUAGUAGAUAUUAAUCCCUGGAGAGAUUAUUUUAGUUGGUAUCUGAAUUUUAAGGUAACUUCCAGUGCUUGAAAUCUAUUAUAACUAUGUCUUCUAAUUUCGUAGAAUCUUGGUCUCAGAACCUUAAGUCUUUACACGCAUUCUGCUUCGUUCCUAGACAGCAGAAGAAAGAGGAAUCCCUACUCUGUCUCCUCACACUUUCUAUGUCCCAGGCAAAUAGCAAUAGCUCAG